UCGUUUACAUUUUGCCACUUGACACCAAAAUCCUCAUCUUGGGAGCGACUGGGGCAUACUGAGCUGAAGAAUCACUGCUGUCUCAAAAGAAAAGCAAACGGAUCGAUUUGAAGGAUCUCAUGACAAGUUACAGGAACGGGGGAUUUUUCAACCCUGCAUACCAUGACACCGAGACUCUGGAAAUUGAUAGAAGGGCUUCCAGCAAAACCCACCAUACUAACCCCUAUGACAACCAAGACCCAACCUGGUGGGGUGACAGGGCUAGCAAUGAUGAUGCUAUAGGGAGAGUGCCUCAAGGUGGCUGGCAGGAGGAGAGCUGGAGGGGUAGAGAAAACAUCCCAAUGGACGCCAUCUCCAUACGCCCAAGGAGUCCUCCAAGGCACCAUGGACCCAGUAUGUGUACCACCUCUUUGUGGCCAUGUUAAAUUAUUUAACCAUAAAGCAACAUAAAGUGUUUGUAUACAUUUGUGUUUGUUUGAUUGAAAAAGUCGUGUUACUUGUUCAGCAGCUUCGUUUUUUGUAUAUGCCAGUGGAUGUUGCUAAGUAACCCUUUGUUGAUACUUCCUCUCUAUCUCCUCUACAUUUUAGAUCACAGUAUAUCUGGGAUGGACUCUGAAUAUAAUCAGUCAAGAUCUAUUCCACUGCCAUCGUCUUCAGGUAAUACGCUUCAUGACACUUAAGAUUACGCAGUUCCUUUAUGGUAUUACUAAACACACAUUAAUCUGUAAAGUUUGCAUCACAUAUUAAUCAUUUCACAUAACAUUGCCAUUUAUCCUCAUACUUAUGUCUUCACUAGACUGUAUCCUUAAUUGUGGAUAUAAUGGCUGUCAACAAUAAAAGCUACAAGGAAAUUGGCAAAGAAAAUAAAACAGAGCAAAGGGGGUUAUUUAGGAAAUGUUUUAUGCAUGAAGUUCAAAUACAAAGUUACAGCAUACAGUAGAAGUGUUUGUUGGUCUGUUUUUCAACUAUAGUUUGAUUACCAUAGAACAUGACACAGAUAUAUGAAUUUGAUUUACAUCUGUUUUCACUCGUCUAAUAUCUAUUUCAUCACCUAUGACAUUAAAUACAUAAGUAAACUGUAUUAGCAACUGUUGGAUGGACUGUAAUGGAAUCCAUAUAGAUAGAAAUUCAGGAUAAAUUAUAACUAUGUCUUCCAUUUCCUCCCAUUUCAUUUGAUCUCUAUGCUUCUGAAAGACGAAAAAGAAAUUCCAGAGUCAUACCAAGAGUUGUUAAAAGGCAUAACUAAUACAUGCAAAUAAUACACACAGACUAAUACUCUGACAGUAACUGCAAAGUAAUACAGUUUGGUGGGCAAUGGCACCAACACCUUCAGUAUCAUAGCAUUAUAUGAAAUGAAAAUAAAUAUGAAAUAAUAAAUUCAUCACAAAUAAAGAUUUUGAACAAACAGUUGCAUAAUAGGACCCACAUUAGUUUGUAUAUGGUGCUGUGUCCUGUACUAUCUGUCAGUGUUUUUGCAGUCGAUAUUUAUCUUUAGAAUUAAUAAAUAAGUAGCAGCUUAUUGCUAUUAUAGAAAAAAGUAAGUGAUAAAGGCUGCGUAAAAGGCUGCAGGUGUUACAUUGAAAAAUGCUACCCAGUUCAUUUGCUGACUGUCACUCUGUUCUUGUAUUUAUCUCAUGCGUUUGAGUUUGAAAAUCCACAAUAAUCACAACAGAAGGCUGGCUGUCUU
ensembl:lncRNA